rnacentral:rRNA from 1 species
CACGUAGGAGGCGAGCGUUGUCCGGAAUCAUUGGGCGUAAAGAGCGCGCAGGCGGCUUGGCAAGUCGGGUGUGAAAUCCCGGGGCUCAACCCCGUGACUGCAUCCGAUACUGUCAGGCUAGAGGUAGGUAGGGGAGAUCGGAAUUCCUGGUGUAGCGGUGAAAUGCGCAGAUAUCAGGAGGAACACCAAUAGCGAAGGCAGCUCGCUGGGACGUUACUGACACUGAGGCGCGAAAGCGUGGGGAGCGAACAGG